rnacentral:rRNA from 1 species
GCUUAACACAUGCAAGUCGAGCGCCCCGCAAGGGGAGCGGCAGACGGGUGAGUAACGCGUGGGAAUCUACCCAUCUCUACGGAACAACUCCGGGAAACUGGAGCUAAUACCGUAUACGUCCUUCGGGAGAAAGAUUUAUCGGAGAUGGAUGAGCCCGCGUUGGAUUAGCUAGUUGGUGGGGUAAUGGCCUACCAAGGCGACGAUCCAUAGCUGGUCUGAGAGGAUGAUCAGCCACACUGGGACUGAGACACGGCCCAGACUCCUACGGGAGGCAGCAGUGGGGAAUAUUGGACAAUGGGCGAAAGCCUGAUCCAGCCAUGCCGCGUGAGUGAUGAAGGCCCUAGGGUUGUAAAGCUCUUUCAACGGUGAAGAUAAUGACGGUAACCGUAGAAGAAGCCCCGGCUAACUUCGUGC